AUUCCAUGAUGGGGACAUUCUAGGAUGUAGUCUUGGAAGCGCUCCCAUGCUUCUGGAACGGAUUCAUCAUGUUGUUGCUAAAAACUUGUAAUUUUCUCAUGGAGAGC
rnacentral:snoRNA from 1 species